rnacentral:rRNA from 1 species
UAACACGAGGAAACUUGUGCUAAUACCUCAUAAGUCUUUACGGAGAAAGCUUUAUGCGCCAAUGGAUGAGCCCGCACUUGAUUAGUUUGUUGGUGGGGUAAUGGCCUACCAAGACUUUGAUCAAUAGCUGAUCUGAGAGGAUGAUCAGCCACAUUGGGACUGAGACACGGCCCAAACUCCUACGGGAGGCAGCAGUAGGGAAUAUUGCACAAUGGAGGAAACUCUGAUGCAGCGAUGCCGCGUGAGUGAAGAAGGCCCUUGGGUUGUAAAGCUCUUUCGUCGGGGAAGAAAAUGACUGUACCCGAAUAAGAAGGUCCGGCUAACUUCGUGCCAGCAGCCGCGGUAAUACGAAGGGACCUAGCGUAGUUCGGAAUUACUGGGCUUAAAGAGUUCGUAGGUGGUUGAAAAAGUUGGUUGUGAAAUCCCGGAGCUUAACUCCGGAACUGCAAUCAAAACUUUUUAGCUAGAGUAUGAUAGAGGAAAGCAGAAUUUCUAGUGUAGAGGUGAAAUUCGUAGAUAUUAGAAAGAAUACCAAUUGCGAAGGCAGCUUUCUGGAUCAUUACUGACGCUGAGGAACGAAAGCAUGGGUAGCGAAGAGGAUUAGAUACCCUCGUAGUCCAUGCUGUAAACGAUGUGUGUUAGACUGUUGGAAAUUUAUUUUCAGUGUCGCAGCGAAAGCAGUAAACACACCGCCUGGGGAGUACGACCGCAAGGUUAAAACUCAAAUGAAUUGACGGGGACCCGACACAAGUAGUGGAGCAUGUGGUUUAAUUCGAAGAUACGCGCAGAACCUUACCAACACUUGACAUGUUCGUCGCGACUUUAAGAGAUUAA